UUCGGUGGUCAUAGCGAAGGGGAAACGCCCGGCUCCAUUCCGAACCCGGAAGCUAAGCCCUUC
rnacentral:rRNA from 1 species